CCAUGUUCAGAACCUGGUGGGGCUCAUCAACAUACCCAAGGGGCCAUUACCUCGGAUUUCCCCAUCAAAGCAUUCAUGGAAGCUGGGGCUCCUUAAACUAACCUUCAUCACCAUUACUAAGAUAAGACAAAGGGUCUAUCCCACACAUAUCCCAUAUUGUCAUCUUGUCAAAAAUAAAAUAUUUUGCAUCUAAACAAAUCACCAAACAAAUAUAAAGUGAGAUAAAUUACCAAUCAAGCAUGAAAGUCCUUUUCAAUAAUUUCUUCAUUUUCAUCAAAUUAAUUUACUAUAAAAAGGACUUAUAAAUGCAAGUAAAAGUACCGAGAAUUCCUUAUCAGAAUCGAACCGAAUUAGCCAUUCAGAAACAAAGGAAAAAGCUCAUAGAAAUUCCUUAAAUAAGCUUGCGAAAUUCCUACUCCUCUCAUUUUUUCUCUCUCUAAAAUUUCUUUUCUUCUCUCUAAUUUGGUAAAACUCGAAGAAAUGGAAAUUGGUAAAGAAUGAAAGGGGAAGGGGCUUUUCAAAGGGAAUUAGAGGGUUGUGGCAGAAAUUCGAAAAGUUAAGUAGAGACAUGGCCGUAUAGCGGCCGCGCAAGCUUGCCUUUGCAUGUUGUGCACGUAUAGCGCACAACAUGGGCAAACAUGGCCUGCACGUAGGCAUCUUGCCGCACACAAGCGUGGCCAUGCUGUGCCCAAUGCGCAACGCAUGCAUAUGUUGGCACCCAUGCGAGUUGACUGCGCGCAAGACCGCGGUUUUGCGGGUGCGAGCUGUAGGAAUUUUUUUCGCUUCCCGUGGCAAUGUAUUCUUGAUUCUUUCCUUUUUAAUGAAACUAUUGUCAAAAUUUAUUUUUUAAAAAAUAAAGAAUAAACAAAAUCAUUGAAAAAAUUCAAAGCACCAAAAAUUUGUAGUAACAUAUUUCAAAUGACCAAUGGGACUCAAAACAACAAAGUUUGUUAUCUCGGUCUAUCACAAAAUUUUGCUGGUAAUAUAAUUGAUGCCUUAUGUGCUCUAUUGAUAGUCUCACUGCAUGGAAUCCUUAUAUAUAUAUAUAUAUGUGUGUGUAUGCAUUUAUGUGCUCUAGUGGAGGAGCGAAUAUAUGUGAUACUAAUGGGCCUAGUUGAUGGGCGAGGGGUUGAUGCCCCAAUGUUUCUUUGUUUUUCACAUAAAUAUGCAUGACAUAUGUAGGUGCAUAAUUUGGUUUGUAUAUGUGAUACUCGGGCCCGGAAAACGACCCGAGAUAAAUUUUUUAUUCUUUAAUUAUCAAUUUAAAAUAAUUUAUUAAUUUAUUUUAUUUUUAUUUAAGUGAAAUUUUGAGAAAAAAUAAAUUAGACACGAGAUUGAAAAUAAUUUUGAGAAAAAUGAAUGAAAAUUUGAGUUAUUGGGUGUUUUUAAAAGAAAAAUUAGAAACAGGGGGUCAAAAUAUAAAUAGAAAAAGUUCAGACAGGUAAGACCGGCUAGUCAGCAGGCUUGACGAAUCGGAUCGAUCCCGCGCAUGUGGAUGACCCAUAUCCAUUUUCUCCUUAGGUGCGAUCGGAUGGUCGAGAUUAAUCGCGAUGAAUAGACUAGAUUCGUUUCCUCCUUAAGUGCGAUCGGACGGACGAGAUCAAUUGCGAUUGAUGGUUCAAAUCAACGCAAGAUGGUUAUAAAUACUUCGCAUUAAACGGGAACCUAAACCUAAGCCGCUAGCCCUCGCUGGAGAAGAAGAACCAGAUGUCGGAGAAGGAGCCCGACCGCUGCCACGUUGGAGCCACCACCGACCGCAAAAGAGGGUAGCCGAAGAAAGAAUCUCAACCGCGAAGGAAGACCGAUGGAGCCGCCGCACCCGGAGGUCCCCUUGUCGAUAAGUUCGAUUUUUUUUAUGAUUUUUCAGCCAACCGAGGCCCUAGACGUAAUUUCUGUAGGGAUACAAUCAAAAUCGGCCAAAUCAGUCACGCUGAGGCACGGUGGUGGACCCGGCGUCGAAACUCCAAAAUUUGUCGUAAUGAAUUUUUGACACCAAUUUUAUAUUUUUCGAAUAUUUUUAGAUAUAUGACAAGUGUUUUGAAUUGCACAGAAAAAUUUAGGGAACCUGAUACCCGUUAAGAGGCGUAGUAAACAGCUCGACAUCUCAAAACACCGAUCUAGACUUGUUAGUUACCCAGGGAAAGGGCGGACAGGUCCGGUACAUAGGGAACCCUACUGUGAACGUUACCUCAGUCAGACGGAGCUGGAAGUCCUUUACCAGAAAAGCAUGGGAGAUAUGGUUCACCCUCAUAUCGGAUAGGGUAUCGAGGCGAUGGAAUGUAUGGCGCCCAUUAUCGGAUGGAGUAUGACAACGGUCAGUUAAUUGUAAUAUUGGAUAUUGGGUUCAUGAGUAAGGAGAACACCCCUAUGAACUCCCAAUGAUAUCAAUAAGCAGAUCAAGAGGACCAAAAUUCAGAUCCCGAUCAGUAAGAGGGUUGUGAUUAGUUUACUAUCUGGACUCUCUUCAAGUGCUAGUGAAGGUUGUCGUAAAAUAUUUAGUUAUUCAUUUUUAGUUUUAUUUCUUUAAUUUCUAUUUGUCUUUUAGAAGAGAUAUUCUUGUAUCCCUAUUAGGCAUUUAAAAUUAUUGUGUAAAAAAUGUAAACCCUAACUUUAUUAAUCAC